rnacentral:tRNA from 1 species
CAAAAUAAAGCUGAAAAUAAAGCAUCUCAUUUACACCGAGAAGGAUAUCGUGUGAUUCGAUUUAUUUUGA